ensembl:miRNA
GUCAGCUAAUCCUCCUGUCACCCUAAGACUGCUCUAAUGUGCUGUAAUACAAUUAGAGCAUCACCAAGGGGCA